UUGUUGGAGCAGUACCGGGUAAUGGCACAGCCUGGCCAUGGCUUUCGGCAGAGCAAUCUCCCAAACCAGGCAAGCGAUAGCCGGAGGAGCGUUCGGAGAACUGGCUCAGCCAGUGCAAGUGUCUUUCUGCGGCAGACUGCCGUAAUGAGAGGAUAUUCUGCUCUCCAGGGGACACAGGCUUCUCUUCCCUACAGCGUGGAAUUCCCCGGCCGCUCUUACUCACAAGCAGCCUUUGACUCGAGGAUGUCCAUCCACCCGGUUACAGGAGCGGUUGAGAUCGGUCCCCUUUGGAGCUGUUACUUGUGCUCGGGUAGACCAGGAGCAUAGCCUCGGGGCAGAGUACUGCGUGGAAAAGGACUGGGCAAGCCCGAGACAUAAAAAUGUCCCCCAAGGAUUUACAGCCUAGACAUGACGGAAGGAAGCAAAUGGUUUCAUACGGACGGAAGGAAGCAAUGAGACUCUGUUCGCCAGCACAAUUAGCAGUGCUCUCAGCACAGUGUCCAUGAAAACACUGGUAACUUCUGUGGUCAUUACGGCAAAGAAGAGAGAGAUGUGAAAACAGAUGAUGCGGGUAAAUACCGACACAGGGAUGGGCACUCGAGGGGCAGCAGGACGGCGUCACAUUUUCAAGGGAUGCUGUGGGCAGUGGGGAUCGGUCCUACGGGACCCGCGGCUGUCCCAGCACACAGCCUUUUUGCCGAUCGUCAGCCUGUCUCCUCCACGUUCUGCUCGCUUUGCUUAUCAAAGCUGAUAGUGUUGCCUUGUGUCAACUACGUGGAGGGUGUGUCUACUUUGACAACUUUGCUUUCAUAAGCAUUGCUUCAGUGAUGUUUGUGCAACCACACUGGAAUAUGAUUUUAUCUUGUCACUUGUAAUUACCAUCAAUGAUUUGCAUAAUAGCCAUUAGGCAUCACUUAUUAAAUACUUCUUUGAUGUGAUACUGA